GUUGGCUUGAUGGAAUCACCAUUGCCGUCAAAAAAUUGAACUCCGAAAGUUUACAAGGUCUCCAGGAAUGGCAGUCAGAGAUACAUUUUCUAGGUAGACUUUACCAUCCUAACCUUGUUAAACUCUUGGGAUAUUGUUAUCAGGAUACAGAGCUUCUUCUUGUCUACGAAUACAUGCAGAAGGGUAGUUUGGAAAAUCACCUCUUUGGAAGAGGUGCUGUUGUUCAACCACUUCCUUGGGAGCUGAGGCUUAAGAUAGCAAUCGGAGCAGCUACCAGACUUUCGUUCUUGCAUACACCAGAUAGAGAAAUUAUUUACAGAGAUUUUAAGGCCUCUAAUAUAUUGCUUGAUGG